GGGCCUGAAACCUGACUGAUAAGGGUCCAGAUUAUCUGGCUAUUUAUGGAGACUUAGUUUAAUGUUAUGUAAUGUAAUGUAAUGUAAUUUAUAGGUGUCAAAUUAUUGACUUUCAUCAGUCUACUGGCUCUUCUGGCACACACCCUCGUUUGUUUGAAUGGGUAUUAAACUAUUAUUCUUCAGGUAAAGAAAACAAUGCAAAGGUUAUGAGUACCUCCAAGCCACCAAUUUAUCUUCAGCACCAAGGUCAUAGUCGUACCAUUGUUGGAAUUGAGGAAAGAAAAAACAAAAGUUUAUGUCUACUAAUAUUUGAUCCUGGCUGCCCUUCACAAGAAAUGCAAAAACUCUUAAAAGGCAUUGAUGGGAACAAUCUAAAAUUCCUUCGAAGGCUUCCAGGAGGCUUAAAGCAUAAGCAGUAUCAAAUAGUGGCUGUAGAUGGUAUACUGACAGAAGAGGAAAAAGUUGCUCGUAGGCAGGCUUCUCAACUCUUCAUGGCACAGAAAAUUCCUUGAAAUAAGAAUUCCUGAAAAAUGGAAGAAGUUAAAGGCUGCAAGGGAGAUCUGUUCAUACAGGUUGUUGAGUGAUGUACAUAGCAUUUUUUAAGCAUUUCAAAAUAAAUAUUG